GGUAAAGCUUUUGCGGUUUGGGAUGGGCCUGCGUCCUAUCAGGUAGUUGGUGAGGUAAAUGCUCACCAAGCCUAUGACGGGUAGCUGGUCUGAGAGGAUGGUCAGCCAGACUGGGACUGCGACACGGCCCAGACUCCUACGGGAGGCAGCAACUAGGAAUUGUGCGCAAUGGACGAAAGUCUGACGCCGCGACAUCGCGUGGAGGAUGAAGGUCUUCGGAUUGUAAACUCCUUUUCUUACCGAACAAGUUCUGAGUGUAGGUAAGGAAUAAGUGCCUGCUAACCACGUGCCAGAAGCAUCGGUAAUACAUGGGGCACGAGCGUUAUCCGGAUUUACUGGGCGUAAAGAGAAGCGUAGGCGGCUCGAUAAGUUUGGUGUUAAAUCUUCCGGCUCAACCGGAAACAAGCACCGAAAACUAUCGAGAUUGAGUCGAGUAGGGAAGAGGGGAAUUCCUGGUGGAGCGGUUAAAUGCGUAGAUAUCAGGAGGAAUACCAAGGGCGAAGGCACCUCUUUGGACUCGUACUGACGCUGAGGCUCGAAAGCGUGGGUAGCAAAACGGAUUAGAUACCCGUGUAGUCCACGCCGUAAACGAUCCCUGUUAGAUGUAUGUUUUGUC
rnacentral:rRNA from 1 species